GAUGAACGCUGGCGGCGUGCCUAAUACAUGCAAGUCGAGCGAACGGACGAGAAGCUUGCUUCUCUGAUGUUAGCGGCGGACGGGUGAGUAACACGUGGAUAACCUACCUAUAAGACUGGGAUAACUUCGGGAAACCGGAGCUAAUACCGGAUAAUAUUUUGAACCGCAUGGUUCAAAAGUGAAAGACGGUCUUGCUGUCACUUAUAGAUGGAUCCGCGCUGCAUUAGCUAGUUGGUAAGGUAACGGCUUACCAAGGCAACGAUGCAUAGCCGACCUGAGAGGGGGAGCGGGCCCAACGGGAUCGAAAGCCGGUCCGGGACCCAGCGGGGGCCAAGAGUGAGGAAUCUGCCGGAAGGGGGGAAAACCGUACGGGGGAACGACGCGUGAGGGAGGGAGGCUUUGUGGUUGAUAAACCCUUUUUUUUGGGAAAAACAUUUUUGUAAAGAACUAGGCAAAUUGUCGGGGGACCUAAUAAAAAAACCCGCGCAAAACGCG
rnacentral:rRNA from 1 species